CGCCCCUCGCUGCUCCAGUCCCCUCCUCACCUGGGGCCAGGGGCUGUGCGGCAGGGCAGUGCCAGGCAGCACGGCGCUGAAUGGGCCAGUGCCUGGCAGGCCAGGCCUUGUCUCACUGCACUGCCUGGCGUGGCGCUGGCCUGGCUCUGGAGCCGGGGGACAGAGGCAGGGCUGGUGCAAGUCACUUACUGGCAGUUGUCCAGCCACCCGAGGGGUGAAAAGGUCAGCGGCAGCUCCCCUUCCGGCUGGGAGUCACACAUGCCCACAGGCUGCAGCGUCACCGGGCUGGAGAGGUCAGCUCCCAUGGAGAACAUGGCUCGGCUCUGCCAGCAGUAUGGGAUCCCCCUCUGGGUGGCACCUGUCCUGGAGCAAGCAGCAACAAUGAAGUGUGAUAAGAGCAGGAGGCACAAGGCAUACAGACUCAUCCGCAGGCGGCUGUGGGAAGGAAGAAUAGGCCUGGAGAAAACAAAGUAUCCAACUUACAUUUACCCAAAGGAGCUGAAGAAUUUAAUGAGAUCUGCCUUCCCAGCAGGGGUCUGCGACUAUCCCGACCCCGACCACAGCAAGGUGGUACAUGUGACCCUCGAAGACCUGCACCUGCUCGACCACCCCAAGGCAGGGAGUGCGCAGCCCUGUCUGCAAUAGAACCUCCUCAGGCAGGAGAGCAUUUACCGGAACAGGAUGGAAUGAGGCAGCGGCGAGAGACACAGUUAAUCUCAUCCUGCCCGGGAGUGACAUACAUAGAGCUCCAGCUAUGCCCCUCUCCCAAAACAGUCCUCCCA
rnacentral:lncRNA from 1 species